ACGGGAGGCAGCAGUGGGGAAUAUUGGGCAAUGGGCGAAAGCCUGACCCAGCAACGCCGCGUGAGGGAAGAAGGUUUUCGGAUUGUAAACCUCUGUCCUUGGUGACGAAGGAAGUGACGGUAGCCAAGGAGGUAGCCCCGGCUAACUACGUGCCAGCAGCCGCGGUAAUACGUAGGGGGCGAGCGUUGUCCGGAAUGGCUGGGCGUAAAGGGCGUGUAGGCGGCACUGUAAGUCUGGAGUGAAAGUCCUGCUUUCAAGGCGGGAAUUGCUUUGGAGACUGCAGAGCUUGAGUGCAGAAGAGGUAAGCGGAAUUCCCUGUGUAGCGGUGAAAUGCGUAGAGAUAGGGAGGAACACCAGUGGUGAAGGCGGCUUACUGGGCUGUAACUGACGCUGAGGCGCGAAAGCGUGGGGAGCGAACAGGAUUAGAUACCCUGGUA
rnacentral:rRNA from 1 species